UUCUAGGGCGGGCUAUAUGUGGGAGCUUCGGCUCGCUGGUUCCGGUGACCAGCCUACCAACCCAUAUAGUCCCGCCCUUUUU
rnacentral:antisense_RNA from 21 species